AGAGUUUGAUCAUGGCUCAGGAUGAACGCUGGCGACGUGGAUUAGGCAUGCAAGUCAAGGGGGCCGCAAGGCAACCGGCAGACGAGGUAGUAAUACGCAGGUACGCACCGAAAAGUCUGGCAUAGCUAGCCGAAAGGUUAGGUAAUACCGGAUGGUACGGCGACGUUAAAGGGGUAACCCGCUUUUUGAGCGGCCUGCGCAGCAUCAGUUAGUUGGUAGGGUAACGGCCUACCAAGACUAUGACGCUUAGAAGAGCUGAGAGGCUGACCUUCACCGAUAGCACUGAGACACGGGCUAUACAUCUACGGAUGGCUGCAGUCAAGAACUUUCCACAAUGGGCGAAAGCCUGAUGGAGCGACGUCGCGUGGUUGAUGAAGUCCUUCGGGACGUAAAGACCUUUUAUGGGGGAGGAAGUAAUUGACGUUACCCCAUGAAUAAGGGGCUCCUAACUCUGUGCCAGCAGGAGCGGUAAUACAGAGGCCCCAAGCGUUAUCCGGAAUCACUGGGCGUAAAGGGUGUGUAGGCGGUCGUGUUAGUCGUUUGUGAAAGACCUUGGGCUUAACCCAGGGGACGCAACCGAAACGGCACGACUCAGAGGACGUAAGAGGUACAGGGAACUCAUGGUGUAGGGGUGAAAUCCGUUGAUAUCAUGGGGAACACCAAAUGCGAAGGCACUGUACUGGUACGCUCCUGACGCUGAGACACGAAAGCGUGGGAAUCGAACGGGAUUAGAUACCCUAGUAGUCC
rnacentral:rRNA from 1 species